AACGAACGCUGGCGGCAUGCCUAACACAUGCAAGUCGAACGAGACCUUCGGGUCUAGUGGCGCACGGGUGCGUAACGCGUGGGAACCUGCCCUUAGGUUCGGAAUAACUCCCCGAAAGGGGUGCUAAUACCGGAUAAUGUCUUCGGACCAAAGAUUUAUCGCCUUUGGAUGGGCCCGCGUUGGAUUAGCUAGUUGGUAGGGUAAAAGCCUACCAAGGCGACGAUCCAAAGCUGGUCUGAGAGGAUGAUCAGCCACACUGGGACUGAGACACGACCCAGACUCGUACGGGAGGCAGCAGUGGGGAAUAUUGGACAAUGGGCGAAAGCCUGAUCCAGCAAUGCCGCGUGAGUGAUGAAGGCCUUAGGGUUGUAAAGCUCUUUUACCCGGGAUGAUAAUGACAGUACCGGGAGAAUAAGCUCCGGCUAACUACGUG
rnacentral:rRNA from 1 species